AAAGCAACUAAAUCCAGGAGCUGUUGCUCCUUUGUCAAUACAGCGGCUCAAAUAGAAGUUCUGACAGCAAUCAGGUCUUGUUGACUGUGGAGAGCUGUGCUGUGCCCCUCAAAGUGAAUUUGGGGGUUCUACACCC